GACGAACGCUGGCGGCGUGCCUAAUACAUGCAAGUAGAACGCAGUUGCGAACGGGUGAGUAACGCGUAGGUAACUGCCUGGUAGCGGGGGAUAACUAUUGGAAACGAUAGCUAAUACCGCAUACUACCAGAUGGACCUGGGUUUAAUUAGCUAGUGGGUGGGGUAACGGCCCACCAAGGCGACGAUCUCUCGCUGGUCUGAGAGGAUGACCAGCCACACCGGGACGGAGACACGGCCCAGACUCCUACGGGAGGCAGCAGUAGGGAAUCUUGCGCAAUGGACGAAAGCCUGACCGAGCAACGCCGCGUGUGUGAAGAAGGUUUUCGGAUCGUAAAACUCUGUUGUUAGAGAAGCGGUAUCUAACCAGAAAGCCACGGCUAACUACGUGCCAGCAGCCGCGGUAAUAC
rnacentral:rRNA from 1 species